AUUGAACGCUGGCGGCAGGCUUAACACAUGCAAGUCGAACGAGUGGCGGACGGGUGAGUAAUGCUUGGGAAUCUGGCUUAUGGAGGGGGAUAACGGCGGGAAACUGUCGCUAAUACCGCGUACCAUAGGAUGAGCCCAAGUGGGAUUAGGUAGUUGGUGGGGUAAUGGCCUACCAAGCCGAAGAUCUCUAGCUGGUCUGAGAGGAUGACCGGCCACACCGGGACUGAGAGACGGCCCUGACUCCUACGGGAGGCAGCAGUGGGGAAUAUUGCGCAAUGGUGGCAACCCUGACGCAGCCAUGCCGCGUGAAUGAAGAAGGCUUUCGGGUUGUAAAGCUCUUUUGGUAGUGAGGCGGUAACUAAAGAAGAAGCAACGGCUAACUCCGUGCCAGCAGCCGCGGUAAUAC
rnacentral:rRNA from 1 species